AAUAAAUGCUAUUGGUAUGCUUAACACAUGCAAGUCGAACGGCAGCAUGGAAGAGCUUGCUCUUCUGAUGGCGAGUGGCGAACGGGUGAGUAAAGCAUCGGAACGUACCGUGUAAUGGGGGAUAACGUAGCGAAAGUUACGCUAAUACCGCAUACGACCUGAGGGUGAAAGCAGGGGAUCGCAAGACCUUGCGUUAUACGAGCGGCCGGUGUCAGAUUAGCUAGUUGGUAGGGUAAAGGCCUACCAAGGCGACGAUAUGUAGCGGGUCUGAGAGGAUGAUCCGCCACACUGGGACUGAGAUACGGCCCAGACUCCUACGGGAGGCAGCAGUGGGGAAUUUUGGACAAUGGGGGCAACCCUGAUCCAGCCAUGCCGCGUGAGUGAAGAAGGCCUUCGGGUUGUAAAGCUCUUUCGGCCGGGAAGAAAUCGCACAGGCUAAUACUCUGUGUGGAUGACGGUACCGGCAUAAGAAGCACCGGCUAACUACGUGCCAGCCGCCGCAGUAA
rnacentral:rRNA from 1 species